CUAGCUACAGGCUUAACACAUGCAAGUCGAGGGGCAGCAUGGUCUUAGCUUGCUAAGGCCGAUGGCGACCGGCGCACGGGUGAGUAACACGUAUCCAACCUGCCGUCUACUCUUGGACAGCCUUCUGAAAGGAAGAUUAAUACAAGAUGGCAUCAUGAGUCCACAUGUUCACAUGAUUAAAGGUAUUCCGGUAGACGAUGGGGAUGCGUUCCAUUAGAUAGUAGGCGGGGUAACGGCCCACCUAGUCUUCGAUGGAUAGGGGUUCUGAGAGGAAGGUCCCCCACAUUGGAACUGAGACACGGUCCAAACUCCUACGGGAGGCAGCAGUGAGGAAUAUUGGUCAAUGGGCGAGAGCCUGAACCAGCCAAGUAGCGUGAAGGAUGACUGCCCUAUGGGUUGUAAACUUCUUUUAUAAAGGAAUAAAGUCGGGUAUGGAUACCCGUUUGCAUGUACUUUAUGAAUAAGGAUCGGCUAACUCCGUGCCAGCAGCCGCGGUAAUACGGAGGAUCCGAGCGUUAUCCGGAUUUAUUGGGUUUAAAGGGAGCGUAGAUGGAUGUUUAAGUCAGUUGUGAAAGUUUGCGGCUCAACCGUAAAAUUGCAGUUGAUACUGGAUAUCUUGAGUGCAGUUGAGGCAGGCGGAAUUCGUGGUGUAGCGGUGAAAUGCUUAGAUAUCACGAAGAACUCCGAUUGCGAAGGCAGCCUGCUAAGCUGCAACUGACAUUGAGGCUCGAAAGUGUGGGUAUCAAACAGGAUUAGAUACCCUGGUAGUCCACACGGUAAACGAUGAAUACUCGCUGUUUGCGAUAUACAGCAAGCGGCCAAGCGAAAGCGUUAAGUAUUCCACCUGGGGAGUACGCCGGCAACGGUGAAACUCAAAGGAAUUGACGGGGGCCCGCACAAGCGGAGGAACAUGUGGUUUAAUUCGAUGAUACGCGAGGAACCUUACCCGGGCUUAAAUUGCAGAUGAAUUACGGUGAAAGCCGUAAGCCGCAAGGCAUCUGUGAAGGUGCUGCAUGGUUGUCGUCAGCUCGUGCCGUGAGGUGUCGGCUUAAGUGCCAUAACGAGCGCAACCCUUGUUGUCAGUUACUAACAGGUUCCGCUGAGGACUCUGACAAGACUGCCAUCGUAAGAUGUGAGGAAGGUGGGGAUGACGUCAAAUCAGCACGGCCCUUACGUCCGGGGCUACACACGUGUUACAAUGGGGGGUACAGAGGGCCGCUACCACGCGAGUGGAUGCCAAUCCCAAAAACCUCUCUCAGUUCGGACUGGAGUCUGCAACCCGACUCCACGAAGCUGGAUUCGCUAGUAAUCGCGCAUCAGCCACGGCGCGGUGAAUACGUUCCCGGGCCUUGUACACACCGCCCGUCAAGCCAUGGGAGCCGGGGGUACCUGAAGUGCGUAACCGCGAGGAGCGCCCUAGGGUAAAACUGGUGA
rnacentral:rRNA from 1 species